GCUCUGCUGGGGCAGGCGUGAGGCGCGCGCCCCCCGGGAACCGCCCCCCACCCCGAGUCCCGGACCCUCCCCGGGCUCGACCCCAACGUGACUCGGUCUCAGCAGGCCUUACCCGCAGCGUCUUUCGUGGCCUCCUCCCUGGCCUUGGCCUGGGCUGCUGCAAGAACCAAAGGAGAGGCUCUCCGGUGCCCUCGGCUCGGCCGCUCCCGCGCCUCCCCCGGGGCUGGCGGUGUGGGCCCCCUGCUGCGCGCUGCCCAGCCCGAGGCUUCACAUGCAGCCGUUCCCUCCCCAGGUGAAAGUUUUCGGGGUUGUUUUUGUUUUUGUUUUUAUAGAGAACUGCCGCCCGUCUGGGAUGUGCCUACCGGUGCAGCGGAGAGAUCGAGACCCUUCCGGUUUCAGCUUAGCCAUCACCUCCUCCAGGAAGCCUUCCCUGAUCCUCAAGACCAGAUCUGGAGCCUCAGGUGCUCUCAUAGCAGCCACUGGUUGUAAUGGCCUGGUUACCUGUCUGCCUCCUGACUAGAGGGGAUGCGAAAGCUGAAGCAUCUGGGCCAAGGCAGCCAUAGUCGGAGUGACUGCAUCCUCCCUCCCAAAGCAGAGAGCCCCUGCCCACAGGAGAUGCCCCCAGAGCCACCCUUCCCGGUCAUUCUAUCCUCCUGGCAUCCACACCUCCACCCCUGUGUCAUCGAGAGGCUGCUUGGACUCCAUGGAACAGCGGGAGCUCAGGGCCACGCAGUUUGUGUGGAUCAGGGCCUGGACCCACCUUCCCAGGGCAGGCUGAACUAGGGGUGCUCCUGAAGCAGGCUGUCCCCCAAGCAGCCUGAACUCGUGAAGUCACAUCACGGGCAAACGCCAACCUCCCACCACCUCCACACCAUCACAGCUGAUGAGGCGGGCGUGACAGUGAAGACCAGGAGGUGUCCAUCAGUCCGGCUGUAUGUUCAGCUGCAGCUCCAGAUCCAGCCACCCUCUGCAUGCUGAGAGCUGAGUGUGAAUGCAGGCAAGGACAAGGCUGGGUAGCAGGUGCUGAGGCUCUAAUCCCUUAGGGGAAAAGGACAGGCGAUCAAGAGUUCUCUGCAGAAACCCAGGAGGAAGACGUUGCCUGUCCUCCCAUGCCAACCCCUCCUAGAAUCAUAGAAGGAACCAUCCUGGACUUAGAAGUGGAAAAGAAUCAGUCCCAUAUGUGUUUCCCUUUGAAGUAUCAUUUUGGAUCAAACUUACCUGGAGGUGUAACUAGGGGAACACUGGAUCCGUCCUCAAGAAACCUAGAUUUUACUCUCAACCAGAGCAAAGUUUAGCUGUGAGAUCUUGGCAAGUUACCUGAGCUCCCUGAUCUGUUAAGUUUUUGAUCAUUUCCAAGAUUCCUUCCAGCUCUAAAAAUCUCUGUCCCAUCAGAAGGACCAGCCUUGUCACUUUCUCUGAGAGAUGACAAACCUAGAGAUGAGAGCUGAAGAUGGCAGGAAAAGGAUCGGCUCUUCCCCCUACCAGGUGUUCUUGGACACAUUACUCGUCUUCUCUGCCUCUGUUUAUCUGUCUGUGAAAUGGACCCAUUUUCAUAAGUGUGAUGGAAAUAAGUUAGACAACAUCCUUCUCCAGGUGGGCAUGGUGCAUUGCACAUAAGGAGUGCCCUCAGAAUUGAUUGAUUGCUUCCCUCCUUACUCCCGUCCUGGUCCAUCUGUUUAUCAGGACCUGGGCAAAGCCACAGUGAACCAGCCCCUCAACUUUGUGAAUAGCAAGAAGCCAGUGAGGAUAGGGGAGGUGUUGAGAGACAGACUCAGGAUCCCAAAACAUCCUAACCUGCUGGAGCAACAGCCUGAACUUCACAAGGUAAAAUGAACAGGGCUUAACUGAGAGAUCCGGGCUUGGCUCCAAGGCACCGACUGUACAAGGACAGGGUGGGGAAGUAGCGGCUUAGCAGAAGCAUGUGUGAAUAAAACUGAGGGUUUUCACCGACAGCCAGCUUCAUAUGAGUCAAACGAGAAGGCUGCCAAAGAAACGGACAGACUCUUAGGCUGCUGAAUUAAAGCGGAGUACUGAGCCCAGUGACUGUCCAUCUUGAUAUCAAUCAGAAUCGCCUGGGAAGCUCUGGUAACACUGGAUGCUCCUUGCUGUUCCCAGACCCUCUGAUU